CAUUGUCUGGUGAUCUUGGGUUGUGUGUGUGAUUGGACUGAAGAGGACGUCAGGGCCUUAACGGGGGGAGUCUGUCACACCCCAAUAAUCCCACAUCGGACAGGAAUGGGGAUGUGGUUGGAUAUAUAAGAGACUUAGACACUAGUAAUAAUAAGUAGGCUUAAGCAUUUUGGGCCGGUGGUUGGGCCCAACGAGUUAUUAUUGCUAGUGGGCUGGGUCGUUAC
rnacentral:lncRNA from 1 species